AUUUGGAUAAGGCACUUGAUUUUUUUGUGAAUUUUGCCAAAAUAAGUACCUUAUCCAUGGAG
rnacentral:pre_miRNA from 1 species